CGUAGCAAGAAUCUUAUUGACUAAAAUGAUUAAAAUGAUACAGUACUGCUAAAGUAGGCUAGCUGGCAGUAGCUGCGUUGUUGACACUACACUAAUCAAGUCAUAUAAUCAAGUUAUAUAAAGUGGCAUUGUUUAAAGUGACACGCUUUAUUAUGCGUUGCGGAAGUUAGAGUAGCAAUGAUCCAGAAUGUGUCGCGCAUUCGAUAUGCUGAUAAUUUAGGGAGCCUUGUUUUCAGAUUAGCUUUGUUAAAAUCCCCAGCUACAAAAAAUGCAACCUCAGGAUAUAUGUUUUCCAGUUUAGUCCAAUGAAGUUCUUUCAGGGCGGUCGAGGUAUCUGCUUGGGGGUGAUAUACAUGGCUGUGAUUAUAAUCGAAGAGGAUUCUGUUGGUAGAUAAUGCGGUCGGCAUUUGAUUGUAAGGAAUUCUAGGUCAGGUGAACAAAAUAACUUGAGUUCCUGUAUGUUGUUAUGAUCACACCACAACUCGUUAAUCAUAAGGCAUACACCCCCGCCCUUCUUCUUACCAGAGAGAUGUUUGUUUCUGUCGGCGUGAUGCAUGAAGAAACCGGGUGUCUAUACCGACUCUAACAUAUCCGGAGUGAGCCAUGUUUCCAUGAAGAAGAGAAUGUUACAAUCUCUGAUGUCUCUCUGGAAGGUAAACCCUGCUCGAAUUUCGUCUACCUUGUUCUCAAGAGACUAGACAUUGGCAAGUAGUACACUCGGGCUCCUGACCAGAAGACCGCUCUGUCUGCCCCAUCUGCGGCGUCGUUGUUUUGGGUUGCCUACUGGGAGCCGAUCCAUUGUCCUGGGUGGUGGUCCAAACCGAGGAUCCGCUUCAGGAAAGUCGUAUUCCUGGUCGUAAUGUUGGGUUGAUGGAGCCAGACUUGGAUUAAACUAAGUACUGUGACACAACAUCUGUAAAGAAGAGAGGAGGAGAGACGUCAAGAGCAGAAACAUCUGUAAAUCUCUUAAGAGUUCCCUAAUCUGCAUAUUCAUACCACGGGAACCACAGACUGUUUUUGGUUUGACAUCUUGUGACUGUCAUUGACACAACAGACCAAACUCCUCAUAAUGGAAUCUCUCUCACAACAAGAGUCCAUUCUAGAUUGUCAGAUCUCACAACAAGACUCCAUGUUAGAAUGUCAGAUCUGUUUCAACUAUUACAGUUUGUGGCAUAGGCCCAAGCUCCUGGACUGCCAGCACACCUGCUGCUCAGUGUGCUUGACCCAGAUGAGGAUGAGCCAGAGUGAGCUGCGCUGCCCCUGGUGUCGCUGUGUCACCACUUUGCCCCCAGGGGUCUCUGUCUCCCAACUCCUAGAUGACCCGGACACUAUGGCCAUCAUCUCUGUCCCAUACACACCUGUCUUCAUACGGCUGCCGUGUAACGCCUACCUUCCAGUAGAACACCAUGAGAGGGCUACAGGGAUGGAGGAGGAACAUGGAAUGAGGGAAGGGGAGGAAGGUAGUUGUAAGAGCGCAUUUGGAACCAGGUUCUGCUUAGUGGCUGUUGUGGGAUUUGUCCUACUCUUACUUGUGUACAUUAUACUGCACAGCAUGACCUGCAACUCAGAACGGUUCACCAUGAUAUCCUGUGGCUGAAAGACUUGAUGAUGAUAAUAAUAAGCUAUUUGGGAUCUUUAUAUCUCACUCCCCAAAAUUACAGGACAUUGUCACAAUGCCAACAUUCAGGCUAUUUCUUAACCACGAAUAGUACUGCCAUACUGAAAUGGUUGCCAUACUUUGUAUUUCAAAUGUGUUCAGAUAUAUUGAAUCUUUAUUUAUUUUUUUCAAAUAAUUUCUCAUGUCUUUGUGCAAUAGACAGUUAAAAAAUUAAACAAAUCACCAUUAUGCUUCUCUGUUGUGAUUCACCCAGAAAAGCACAAAUCAAAUGUUAUUGUCACAUACACAUUUAGCAGAUGUUAUUGCGGGUGUAGCGAAAGGCUUACUUGUGUUAAUUCAUAUGAAAAACAUAAAACUGACCCAUUUUUAGUGGUCUGUGAUUUGUAUUUCUUCAAGUCUUCCUUUUCACCUACAGAUGAUGCUAUUUGACUUUUUUAGUGACAUUUUAAUCUUUAGGUCCCACACAAUCAAGACUCUAAAUUAAUAUUUUUAAGAUGGAAGAACUGUCAGAAAAGCAAAAACAUUUUUGCCCAUCAAGACCUGAAUCCAGACCGCUGUCAAUACAGGGUUUAAUCUAAUCAUUUCAUCACUGGUUUACCAGCUGACCUCUAUCAGGACACCCAUGUCAACUGGAUUCCCACUGUGAAGAGGAGCAACAUCAGUUUCUCCUUCAUCUUGAUAAUUUUCCAAAUAUGAAAGGAGUGUCGUGGAACUUUCCUCUAUUUACCAAAUCAUGAGCGCAAACCACAACACAAGUCAGAGUUAGUUAUCAAAAGUCCAUCUUUAAUUAUAUGAGCUCUAUCACAACCCUGUGACUCUCAGAUCAAUUCAGUGUCUAUCAAUGAAUUCUCUGAGAGCCCCCUCUACAUUGCAACUGAGAUCCUUUAAUAGCAAAGAACACGCAUAGUCAGACAGCAUAGACAUAAUAUAUCGUUCAGCUUUGUCUCCUUACUCAAACCCAGAACUAUAAACCAAUCCUCCAUAUCAACAGGCAUAUAUCAAAUUGUCAUUUAGAUACAACCAAUUCUAAAUACAACCAAUCCUGGACAAGCUCACGGGGAGCAUAGAAUGAUUCCAGACACUGCCAUCCUCCUCUCCCCGAUGGGAAAAGUAGGGAGAGACUGGCACACAGACACAGUGGGGCAAAAGAUAUGUUUACACAUGAUGACACCUUGACCUCUCCCCUCUCUGCGGCCCAUGCAACUUAGUCUUGACAUAGAACAGAUACUGCAACCCUGCCACAAUAUUAUACAUAAAUAACAUUCUUGAUGAGAAGUAACUUAAAAACAUAUGAUGAAUAUAAAACAUCUUACCUAUGUUACCAACCAAAUCUGAUUAUUCCCCAACAGGAGACAUCCCUCAGUUAUCUGAGAUGGUUGUCAUAUGCUGUGCUUUGGACAAUCUGAAUGAUUCUGUUGUGUCAGAUAUGUAGAGGGCACCUUCACCUUGUCGUCAUGACUAAACUGCCCCCUCAAAGUGUGUGUGUGUAAUUUGGAACUUGUAAAAGACUAUCGUUUGUAUUGUAAACAUGCUGUACUUAAAUAAUAUAUUGUUGUGUGGGUGAAAUGAAAGUAUUUUGCUAUCUCUUCUUUGCCUAGCCCCAUUGAAUAAAAAGCAUUUCUUAUA